UGCCUGGUCGGAAACCAGGCCUACGUUAGGAG
rfam:Coriobacteriaceae bacterium BV3Ac1 contig00007, whole genome shotgun sequence.